rnacentral:rRNA from 1 species
CCUACGGGAGGCAGCAGUGGGGGAUAUUGCACAAUGGGGGAAACCCUGAUGCAGCGACGCCGCGUGGGUGAAGAAGUAUUUCGGUAUGUUAAGCCCUAUCAGCAGGGAAGAAAGAAGACGGUACCUGACUAAUAAGCCCCGGCUAACUACGUGCCAGCAGCCGAGGUAAUACGUAGGGGCCGAGCGUUAUCCGGAUUCACUGGGUGUAAAGGGAGCGUAGACGGCCGUGCAAGCCAGGAGUGAAAGGUCGGGGCACAACCCCGGGACUGCUGUUGGAACUGUGCGGUUGGAGUGCGGGUGGGGCAGGCGGAAUUCGUGGUGUAGCGGUGAAAUGCGUAGAUAUCAGGAAGAACACCGACGGCGAAGGCGGCCUGCUGGACCGCGACUGACGUUGAGGCUCGAAAGCGUGGGUAGCGAACAGGAUUAGAUACCCCAGUAGUC